rnacentral:rRNA from 1 species
UCCGUAGGGUGAACCUGCGGAAGGAUCAUUAUUGAUUGGUCGAAAGACCUUAUCAGAUUCUACCACCUCUGUGAACCGUUGACCUCCGGGUUAAUAAUCAAACAUCAGUGUAACGAACGUAAGAGUAUCUUAAUUAAACAAAACUUUUAACAACGGAUCUCUUGGCUCUCGCAUCGAUGAAGAACGCAGCGAAAUGCGAUAAGUAAUGUGAAUUGCAGAAUUCAGUGAAUCAUCGAAUCUUUGAACGCACCUUGCGCCUUUUGGUAUUCCGAAAGGCAUGCCUGUUUCAGUGUCAUGAAAUCUCAAUCUAAUAUGUUUUCUGAACAUGUUAGGCUUGGACUUGGGUGUCUGCCAGCAAUGGCUCACCUCAAAUGACUUAGUGGAACAUCCCACAUCAGUGUUAGACGUAAUAAGUUUCGUCUCUCCUUGUGGUGAUGACUGCUCAAAACCUGCCAUCGCGCACCUUUUGACUUUGACCUGAAAUCAGGUAGGGCUACCCGCUGAACUUAAGCAUAUCAAUAGGCGGAGGA